rnacentral:rRNA from 1 species
AUUGAACGCUGGCGGUAUGCCUUACACAUGCAAGUCGAACGAUAGAGGAGCAAUCCUUGAGAGUGGCGAACGGGUGAGUAAUACAUCGGAACGUGCCCAGUCGUGGGGGAUAACGUAGCGAAAGCUACGCUAAUACCGCAUGAGACCUGAGGGUGAAAGCGGGGGACCUGAGAGGGCCUCGCGCGAUUGGAGCGGCCGAUGGCAGAUUAGGUAGUUGGUGGGGUAAAGGCCUACCAAGCCUGCGAUCUGUAGCUGGUCUGAGAGGACGACCAGCCACACUGGGACUGAGACACGGCCCAGACUCCUACGGGAGGCAGCAGUGGGGAAUUUUGGACAAUGGGCGAAAGCCUGAUCCAGCCAUACCGCGUGUGGGAAGAAGGCCUUCGGGUUGUAAACCACUUUUGUCAGGGAAGAAAUGCUCUGGGCUAAUAACCUGGGGAGAUGACGGUACCUGAAGAAUAAGCACCGGCUAACUACGUGCCAGCCGCCGCAGUAAAAC